rnacentral:sRNA from 1 species
CGUGCUUAGGGAGAAGCACAACUGCCAGGAUGGUGGUUAGGGACGCUGUAAGGAAACAGUUCAUCAGGAUGAUGAAAGGAAAAAGGGAAUAGGGACAAAAGAGUGGGCGGGUUAAACCGCCCCUUUUUUU